ensembl:snRNA U1 U1 spliceosomal RNA
AUACUUACCUGGCAGGGGAGAUACCAUGAUCAAGAAGGUGGUUCAUGCAGGGCAAAGCUCAGCCAUUGCAUUCUGGUUGUACUGACCCCUGCGAAUUCCCCAAAAUGUGGGAAUAUCGACUGUGAAUUUUCUGGUAGUGGGGGACUGCAUUCAUGCUCUCCCAUG